CCUACGGGUGGCUGCAGUGGGGAAUAUUGCGCAAUGGGCGCAAGCCUGAUGCAGCCAUGCCGCGUGUGUGAAGAAGGCCUUCGGGUUGUAAAGCACUUUCAGCGGGGAGGAAGGCGGUGAGGUUAAUAACCUCAUCGAUUGACGUUACCCGCAGAAGAAGCACCGGCUAACUCCGUGCCAGCAGCCGCGGUAAUACGGAGGGUGCAAGCGUUAAUCGGAAUUACUGGGCGUAAAGCGCACGCAGGCGGUCUGUCAAGUCGGAUGUGAAAUCCCCGGGCUCAACCUGGGAACUGCAUUCGAAACUGGCAGGCUAGAGUCUUGUAGAGGGGGGUAGAAUUCCAGGUGUAGCGGUGAAAUGCGUAGAGAUCUGGAGGAAUACCGGUGGCGAAGGCGGCCCCCUGGACAAAGACUGACGCUCAGGUGCGAAAGCGUGGGGAGCAAACAGGAUUAGAUACCCGGGUAGUC
rnacentral:rRNA from 1 species